CCUGCCUGGGGAAGCUGUUGCUAGGAGACCGAAGGGACUCGGCCUGCAGCAACGAGGGGGGAACAGGGAGGCAUUUCUGUCUUUUCUGGUCUCAUCAGACGUGUUCCUCACAAAGCUUUGGUAGUGUUGGUGGAGAAGCCUUCAUAGCUAGCCUGUGAGACAGUGGAUUGACCCAGAUUUGAAGCUUCAGCCAAGG